rnacentral:rRNA from 1 species
AGGCUUUGAAGCGUGGACGCCAGUCUGCGUGGAGCCGACCUUGAAAUACCACCCUUUAAUGUUUGAUGUUCUAACGUGGACCCGUGAUCCGGGUUGCGGACAGUGUCUGGUGGGUAGUUUGACUGGGGCGGUCUCCUCCUAAAGAGUAACGGAGGAGCACGAAGGUUGGCUAAUCCUGGUCGGACAUCAGGAGGUUAGUGCAAUGGCAUAAGCCAGCUUGACUGCGAGCGUGACGGCGCGAGCAGGUGCGAAAGCAGGUCAUAGUGAUCCGGUGGUUCUGAAUGGAAGGGCCAUCGCUCAACGGAUAAAAGGUACUCCGGGGAUAACAGGCUGAUACCGCCCAAGAGUUCAUAUCGACGGCGGUGUUUGGCACCUCGAUGUCGGCUCAUCACAUCCUGGGGCUGAAGUAGGUCCCAAGGGUAUGGCUGUUCGCCAUUUAAAGUGGUACGCGAGCUGGGUUUAGAACGUCGUGAGACAGUUCGGUCCCUAUCUGCCGUGGGCGCUGGAGAACUGAGGGGGGCUGCUCCUAGUACGAGAGGACCGGAGUGGACGCAUCACUGGUGUUCGGGUUGUCAUGCCAAUGGCACUGCCCGGUAGCUAAAUGCGGAAGAGAUAAGUGCUGAAAGCAUCUAAGCACGAAACUUGCCCCGA